UCUCCCUCGGCAGCCGGAGACUCCAUGGACGGCUCCAACACCUCGGAGGAUCGAUGCAAAUCCCCCACCUCAGGAUCUGCGUCGCCGUGCAACUCGGACGACGAGCGGAAACACAGGUUCAUAGAGAAGGUGAAGUCUAAGAGCAGACGCUUUUCCAAGACGGUUGCCAAUGACUUUGCCAGGAUCUCUCGGAAAAUUAGCUACUCUGGUGAAAAGUCAGAUCCGGGUAAGAAACACUAAAAACUGGAUUUUAAUUUGUGAUCAUUUUUGACUAUAAUGAACACAAAAUCACUACAAAUGGACAUUUCUUCCUGCAGGAGGAGUACGAGAGGAUUAGGGGAACAUUUUAAUGGAGAUCUGGGCAAAAUUCUGUGGAAAAAAUGAACAAAAAGAGUGAAAAUAUGUCAGAAGUCAGU